UUGCAUCUGUUUAGCUUUGUCUGGGGCAUUGUUUUCUUGGUCAAGACCUGCACUGGUAAUCAGUGGAAUUAACAAGGGAUCGAGCUGUGGCCAUCACGUCCUCUACUCAGGUGCAGUUGCUGGAGCUAGAGAAGCUUUAAUUUGUAGUGUACCUUCCAUAUCAAUUUCAUUGAAUUGGUGAAUGGAAAUCUCCUUGUUAUUGUGGUAUUUGCUUGUUGUGUUG